UCCGUCUUUUUGCUCUGCCAAGAGCUUCCCCCAACCCCACCAUCAACAAAUACUGCUUUGUGCAUACAUGAAAUAACCCCAGACUCCAACCUGACAGAUGAGCUGGACAAGGGAACGGGCUGGAGAGCAGAGCGGAGAAGAGGAAAGAUGGGCACUUUAUACCACCUCCCCCUCCACCGAGACCACCCCCGCAAACACUGGGCGAACCGGGAGAGGAGGGAGGUACUUACUCAGCAGCGCUCUCUCCCAGAGCCUGGACUCUAAGGGAGCGGUGGGCCAAAACUAUAGAUGCACAGUGACUACUGGCACUCCAGACGCCUCCUCGGAGAAACACACCAGUGGAACACAGCAGUGGAUAAACCAGACUGCAGAGGCUGGUGAGUUAUCUGGAUUCAGACUUCACCCAGGAGAGUGUAAUUGGCCGGUAGCCAUCUUGGAGAUAGAACUCAGAAUAGCUGAAGGCAGACUCCAUCUAGUGU
rnacentral:lncRNA from 1 species